rnacentral:rRNA from 1 species
UACGCAGGGGGCUAGCGUUGCUCGGAAUCACUGGGCGUAAAGCGCACGUAGGCGGAUUCUUAAGUCAGGGGUGAAAUCCUGGAGCUCAACUCCAGAACUGCCUUUGAUACUGAGGGUCUUGAGUUCGGGAGAGGUGAGUGGAACUGCGAGUGUAGAGGUGAAAUUCGUAGAUAUUCGCAAGAACACCAGUGGCGAAGGCGGCUCACUGGCCCGAUACUGACGCUGAGGUGCGAAAGCGUGGGGAGCAAACAGG